CUUAUUAUUAAGACAAAGAGCCAAAUUCCUAAUUCAUAAAACCAGAAGGAAUUAUUAUUUUAAUGGCUGUAGACCGAGUCAUUUACUAUCCUGAAGACUGAAACAGAAUGAGAAAUACUCCAACAUCAUGGCCAUUCAGUCACCUACCAGUACCCUAACUGAACCCUGCGAAAUUAAUUCGGCAUUCAAAACUUAUUACUCUUCCCUUUACUCCUCUGAAGUAGUUUUGAAUGCUGAAAAAUGUGAGCAGUUUUUUUUUAAGAAUCUUCAGCUCCCUACUCUUACUGAUCAGGGUUCAGAAAAACUUCUCCAUUACGUUACAAGAGCUGAAAAAAGCCCUAGUCUCUAUGAGGAAAGUGUUGGGAUCUGGGGUGGUGCUGCUUGUUUUUUGGCUGUGUUUCCCCCUUUCUCCACCAGAGGGCGGCUGGGAUCCAUUCUGGAAGGGCUGACUGACGGUGGCUGGUCACCUACACACCUGCAGGUCGUUUAUCGUCAGGAGCUCCUUGUGAUUUUGUUUCUUGUGAAAAAUGUAUCUUUUGUGUCCUCUUUUCAGGUGAUCCAUUGUGACGCAGUGACUGAUUCGCACUAACAGUCUGAAUACUGGCAGUUUCCCUGUGCUCCAUUCUUCUCGUGUCGCCGUGGGCAUUACCUACUGGAAGCCCGAGUUCCACUUACCUCCAAGCCGUUGAACCAAACCUCUUUGGAUCCCUCUGUUGGCUGGCCCCUCACUCCUCCGGCCUGAAAGGCAGAACUGUUAACUCUCUCUUCUGUCGCUGUUCCCCGCCGAAUCACAGCCUACCCACCAUUGUUGAACGCCACCCCGGUAACCUCAGUAUUUCCCUCCUGCAUACUACUUCCUCCAUCCAAGUAAGCUCCCUUGGCGAUUCACAAUUUUAAGCUUUCUCGUCUUCAAAGCGUACCUUCUGCUUCUCUCCGCCCAACGUUCCCGAUUCCAGAAGCCACAAGCUCUUGGAUCUAGUUUUGAUUAUCGUUUCUAUUUUUUUUUAUUUUUAUUAAACAUAUUUAACUGA